ACUUUUCACCGUUUUUUUUUUUUUUGGCGGGAAAUAGAUUUACAAGGGAUUUUAAAAUAUUUACAAGGAAUUUUAAAAGGUUUUAAGAGAUUUACAAGGGAUUUUAAAAGGCUUUUAAAAGAUUUAUAAGAGAUUUUAAAACGUUUUUAAAAGAUUUACAAGGGAUUUUAAAAGAGUUUUAAAAGAUUUACAAGAGAUUUUAAAGGGCUUUAAAAGAUUUGCAAAGAUUUUUAAUGGGUUUAAAAUUGUUUUAAAAGGAUUUUAAAAUAUUUACAAGGGAUUUUAAAAGGGUUUAAAAAUAUUUACAAGUGAUUUUAAAGGGCUUUAAAAGAUUUACAAAGGUUUUUUAAAUAUUUUUAAAGGGUUUAAAAGUGUUUUGAAAGAUUUACAAGGGAUUUCAAAAGGGUUUUGAAAGAUUUAAAAGAGAUUUUUAAAGAGGCUAAAUGGGUUUUAAAAGAUGUACAAGGGUUUUUAAAAGAUUUUAAAAGAAUUUACAAGAAGACUUUUUAAUCCUUGUAAAUAUUUUAAAACCCUUUUAAAAUUCUUUGUAAAUCUUUUAAAACCCUUUUAAAAUCCUUGUAAAUAUUUUU
rnacentral:sRNA from 1 species